UGUGGAUCUAGGUCAGACUCCUUCUACAUUAUCCCUGGAACAACAUCAGAGAGCCAGAGAGACAGGCUGAGAGAGUAAUACAGAAAGCACGUAAGAGAGGGAGAGAGAUAGAAGAGAGAAAAAAAGCAGAGAGAGAUAGACAGAAACAUAGAAAGGAAGAGAGAGAGAGAGAGAGAGGCAUAAACUGACAUUAUGGAGAAGCUGAGAGACAGACAGGAUGAGAAACAAAAAGGGGGCAGACAGACAGUGAGAGAGACAGGCAAAGGACCACAAAGUUAAAGAAAGACAGGGAGAGAGGGAAAGUGAUAACAAACAGAGCAGAGAGAGACGGUCGUGAAAUGAAAUUAAUGGAAGAAAAAGAUGGGCAUAGACUCACAGAUGGACAAGCAAAGAGACAGUCUGGACAAGAAAAAAAAGAGGCAGACAGACAGUGAGAGAGACAGGCAAAGUCAGGUGGAGAGGGAGACAGACAUAAGAAAAGAAAAGAGACAGACACUGGCACAUGGACAAGUGGAGAGACAGACAGAAAUAAAGACAGGGAGACAGACAGGCCAAGAACCAGAAACUGAGAGAAAGACAGGUAGAGAAGGAGAGAGAUAAAAUGUAAAGCCGAGAGAGAUACAGAGAAAUUAGAGGAAGAGAAAGACAGGCAUUGACUGAGAGAGGGACAAAUGGAGAGACAAACAGGAUGAGAAACAAAGAGACAGACAGUGGGAGAGACAGGCCAAGAACCACAAAGUGAGAGAAAGACAGGCAGAGAGGGAGAGAGAUGGAAGAAAAGAAAAGCUGAGAGAAAGACAGAGAAAUAAAAGGAAGAGAGAGACAAACAUAUACUAACAGAUGGACAAGUGGAGAGACAGCCAGGCUGAAGAACAGAAAGAAAGCAGGCAGAAAGAGAUAAUUGGUGGGCGUGUCGUCAUGGUGCCACACACACCCACAUCUUUGUGUCAGGACCUGGUACUGAUAUCACUGUCAACUUCAAGCCAACUUUCCUGGUAGCACAGUAAUAUGACGCACAUUGACUUGCAUUGUGCUGACAUGGCAUCACUUAUCAGAUUACACAACAUGUUUUCUUCCCAUGCAAUAUCAAAUCUUCAUGUACAUCUCCAAUGUGUUUAAUAAAAAAAACAGUGAAUUCACCAUUUCAAGUGCAACAUCUUAAAAUGUGUGAUAAUGUGUUCUUAUUUUUCCAGUUAAAAGAGCCUUUGUACCGUCAAAGGUCUUGUACAGACAAAACACACACUUUAUCUACAUUGCUGGUAAAGACAGCAUACAAAAACAAGCUGUUAACUGGCUGUGCAAAACACACACACACACACACACACUCAAGUUUCGAAUAACAGCAUUGCUGCAUACAGCUGCUGUCAUCGCAUGCUGUUGUUGCGGGUCCAUGCUCGGCUACAGCAGAUCCCUUGUUUACAUCACAUUACAGUGCAUGUGUGUGUUUUUGAGACAUUGCUAGAGUCUUAAAACCAGAGUGUUUACGUAUGCCUGUUUGUGCAGCUGAGACUUCUAGAAAACAACAGCAGUGCUGAUAACAAGCAGUACUGAAGUAGUGAAAAGUUAAGGAGGCUAUUCUACAAAACUAGUAUAAUUAUUAAUUACAUCUAGUAAUAAUAAUAAAUAUUACAUAAUAAUAAUAAUAAUAAUUAUGAUAAUAACUGGCU
ensembl:lncRNA